rnacentral:rRNA from 1 species
CCUACGGGAGGCAGCAGUGGGGAAUAUUGGGCAAUGGGCGCAAGCCUGACCCAGCAACGCCGCGUGAGGGAAGAAGGCUUUCGGGUUGUAAACCCCUUUUGGCAGGGAAGAGUAGAUGACGGUACCUGAGGAAUAAGCCACGGCUAACUACGUGCCGGCAGCCGCGGUAAUACGUAGGUGGCAAGCGUUUUCCGGAUUUACUGGGGGUAAAGGGAGUGUAGGGGGGUUGACAAGUCAGAUGGGAAAUCCUGGGGCUUAACCGCAGGACUGCAUUUGGAACUGGUUGUCUUGAGUGCCGGAGAGGCAGGUGGAAUGCCUGGUGUAGCGGUGAAAUGCGUAGAUAUUAGGAAGAACACCAGUGGCGAAGGCAGUCUACUGGACAGCUACUGACGGUGAGGCACGAAAGCGUGGGGAGCGAACAGGAUUAGAUACCCCUGUAGUC